rnacentral:misc_RNA from 1 species
GAUGAAGAACGCAGCGAAAUGCGAUAAGUAAUGUGAAUUGCAGAAUUCAGUGAAUCAUCGAAUCUUUGAACGCACCUUGCGCCCUUUGGCCAUUCCGAAGGGCAUGCCUGUUUGAGUAUCAUGAACACCUCAACUCUUCAUGGUUUUCCAUGAUGAGCUUGGACUUUGGGGGUCUUGCUGGCCUGUGGGUCGGCUCCUCUCAAAUGAAUCAGCUUGCCGGUUUUUGGUGGGCAUCACAGGUGUGUUAACUAUCUACGCUUGUGGUUUUCCACCAGGGUAACCUUCAGCAGUGGAGGUUCACUGGAGCUUACAAAUGUCUCUCCUCUGUGAGGACAGCCCUUUGAAUGUUUGAUCUCAAAUCAGGUAGGACUACCCGCUGAACUUAAGCAUAUCAAUAAGCGGAGGA